rnacentral:lncRNA from 1 species
AAAGCUUCCAGAGCCUGAACUUCAGGAGGUUUUUGGUAUAUUUGAGGGAGUUCUGGAGGAGUAUUUUAUGACUAAAAAGUUUCAUGUGAAGUGUGAAUUUCUAAAAGAAGUUUUUAAAAGGCGACCUUGGAUUGGACAUCACCUUUUUGGAGUUUUGAGGGAGUUCUGGAGGAGUAUUUUAAGACUAAAAAGUUUCAAAUGAAGUGUGAAUUUCUAAAAGAAGUUUUUAAAAGGCGACCUUGGAUUGGACAUCACGUUUUUGGAGUUCUUUUGGAGAAAUGUGCUAGUGCAAAGCUACAGUUUCGGCAAAUUGAAGCUCUUGAACUGGUUAUUGAGAUCUUAAAAUCAAUUACUUCUGCAAACCCUGAUGACAGCAGC